GUGUGUGUGCUGCACAGACUGAGGUCGAGUCUUAAGGAACCCUCCGUGACCUCUGACCUCACUCACAGUGAAACUGACACGGACAAACUUCCACAGCGCGGCAGCAGCUGGAGAGAGAAGACACAACAAACCAACACAACACGUGGGGAUUGUCCACAGAGCCCAUCAGUCUGAGAGGGGACCUGGAGGACCCGGACCAGGACCCGGAGCAGGACCCGGAGCAGGACCCGGAGCAGCGGAGCAGCGAGCCCGGUCCACAGAAACAGAGAGGCUGCACAGCUGUGACCAGUGGAGGAAAACCUUUAAAACCCCAGCAGCGCAUCCACAGCGGAGAGAAGCCGUAUGUCUGCAGCUGGAACUGGAAACUGAACCGACAGAGAAAAUGUUUCCGGGCUGAAGAAUCGUCUCGUUGAGCCACUGAAUAAAUCCGAGCCCUCCCUGGGCCUCAAACGCAGCAGCACUCAGUGAUACCUGAAACACUCAGGUAGACCACGUGCUGUCUGAUCCUGGAAACAUCUGAAGAACCUCGUCUGUCACUGGGACUUUUCUCCUCAGUGAUUUGAACUGGAAAUUCCAACUGGUUUGAAAAUGACUGUAAAGUUCUGACUGUUCCUGAACACGUUGCUGAUCUGACAACACUGAACCUCCGUCACACGUUGGACGUGGUUUUGGUUUUUGAUGUAAACUGAAUCUGCUGAUGGUCGACGUGAAGUCCUUCCCUGAUGUGACCUGAAUCAUCUCUGCUGAGUCAUUCAUCGGUUCAUGUGACUCAGCUCUGUCUUACAGAAGCAGGUGGUUUGUAAAUCCAUUCAGAAAUGUUGAAGCUGUUGUGAGGUCGUUCUGCAUCUCUGUGCUUCAGCGCUUCAUUUUCAGGAUGGACAUUUGAAUGGAGGUUGACCUGUGACCUGUUCAGUGCUGCAGCUGCAGCUCAGAGACAGAGACUCAGAUACUGUGAGUGAAAGAAUUUGAUUUUAACCAGUUACUUAGCAAAGACACAUAAACUUUACCUUUAACCCGUGUGUUUCCUCAGUGGGAUGAACAGUGUGUCCUGUGAGCUGUAUAAUAACCAGCAGCCAGUGAGUUCACCACAGAAUCAGAACGUGCAGUAGUUUCCUCUGAAAUAUGAUGAAUGUGUUAUUCUGGUUUGUGUCGGUGAAAUGUUUGGUGGAAGUCGGUUCUUGUGGCAGCAGAGUCUCAUGUUAG